UACGUAGGGUGCAAGCGUUAAUCGGAAUCACUGGGCGUAAAGCGCACGUAGGCGGACUCUUAAGUCGGGGGUGAAAUCCUGGAGCUUAACUCCAGAACUGCCUUCGAUACUGGGAGUCUUGAGUUCGGGAGAGGUGAGUGGAACUGCGAGUGUAGAGGUGAAAUUCGUAGAUAUUCGCAAGAACACCAGUGGCGAAGGCGGCUCACUGGCCCGAUACUGACGCUGAGGUGCGAAAGCGUGGGGGAGCAAACAGG
rnacentral:rRNA from 1 species